CCGAAUGACCAAAAGUAACGAAGGCUGCAAACCUACGAUUUUUGAGGAUGUAAAUCCAACUGUAGGCCUCAACGAAAUCAGCUAGCUACAGACUAACCUGAGCUUGAAAUGGGUGGAAAGGAGGGGUGAGUUUUGAUAGACCUAGUGAGUAAACAAACAUCAUCUAAAAUAUCUAAAGCUGAGUAAAUGGAGACAACUUAAAAUAGUUCAUCGUACUAUGAUUCGUAACGUUUCAAACUCAUUUCAACUAAACAAAAUAAAUUCAUUUCACUCAAAUAAUCAACAUGGCUUAUGAAUUUCUUAAAAAUUUGGCUUGUACCAAAACUCAUUCUUGAGGAUACCUUGGUCGGGGCAUCCAACUGAGUUUGCCAAGGUUGUUAAAGAAAAGUUCAUAUACGCAUAAAACAUAUUUUUAUGUUUAAAAGCAUAGUCGUUCCUUCACGUUGGCUGAGUUCACCCUCACGUGGUGGUUUAGCGUGUAGUGAACUCUAAAACUUUACCUCAGGAGAUACCUUCCGCACCUCUCGUACUAAGGUAAAUAUAACGUGGUUUACCGUGCCCCUCUAAUAGGCUGGUCCACGAAAACCCGCCCACUGCAAUAAGCUAAAUACAUAACCCACCAAAUCAAUAACAUUUCAGCAACAUAACAUGGCUAAUAUAAUACUAUCCAGCCUGUUAAGGCAAAACAAAUAAUUCAUACAAUUUCAACAUAAUUUCCAAUUCAGCCAUUCAUGUCAAUAUCACCAUAAGUCAUUCAAUUCAAACCAUAAAUUUACAACACAAUCAAACAGUCUUCAAUUACUCAAUUUCUAAAAUCAUCAUUCAAUUUCAAAAUGAUUUAUAAAACUCAUUUCAUUUAAUAACAUUUUACUUAUAAAACAUAAGAAUUUAUCAUUUAAACUCAUUUUUCUAUAAAAUCACAAAAACGAAUAAAAACUACUUUAGAUAAUUAAGAUGAUAAUAAGGUUACUCACGAUAUCGGGAGUUCGAAAUACUCCUAUUCUUGAUCCUCUGACACAAUGUCUUUACCCUUGUUAGAAGACUCACCACCUAUACACAAUACACGACAAAUAAUUUAAUAUAUUGUGUCAUGUCAUUAUAAAUCUAUUUCCAGCUCUAUAUGAAUGCAUGAGGUUGUUCGGAUAGUCACUUAAAGACGGUGCUACACGUUGGUUCAAUUAUGAUCAGAACGGAUCGAUUUUCGACCUAAUUCGAACUCUCCACCUUUGAUUUAACCAAAACAUCCAAAUUGACUCCAAUUAUAUUCAUCACACUUCCAAUGUCCCAAAAUACACCAAAGCGCCUCAAUGAGCUUGACUUUCUCAUUGUUAUUCAACUUAUUUACUAAAAGAACUAUGCUUUAAAAUUACCAUUUUUUAUUUCCAUCACCACCAUUCAUUAAAUUAUAACUAAAUAACACAAGAUAUCACAAGAAUCAUCAUCACUAGGUUCCUUAUGAAAUUCGACCAUGGUGGGUGCAUAAACACUAUGGUUUUUCAUACCUGAUUUUUUUAUACCAUAAAUCAUUAGUUCCUAACCAAAUCACUUGAAAUAAAAUCAAAUCCACCAUCAACAUACCAUAAGGAAGAUUCGACUAAUGAGGGUGAUGGAAGAACAUGAAUUUUUCUUGUUUGCUUUUCAUGCUACACAUCACUAACCAACUAAAAACACUAGAAUAACAUGUUUUCCAACUAAAUUCAUCAUCGAAUCUUCUCCCCCUAGGUUCGGCCAACAAGGGAUCCAUCAUGAAAUCAUGAAUUUCAACCAUGGAAAAUGAGAAAGAAUGCUUAGGAAAGAUAGAUCUCAAGCUAAAAUUGAAAAAUCUUACCUUUUGUCACUUGAUUCUUUGAAGUUCCAAAAUUUUCUCUUGAAUUUUUCUAACUAAGGUUUUGUUCUUUCUUUCUUUCCACUUUUCCUUGGUGAGGCCAAAC
rnacentral:lncRNA from 1 species